rnacentral:tRNA from 1 species
GCGAGAGUGGUGGAAUUGGCAGACACGCCAGACUUAGGAUCUGGUGCCGCAGGCAUAAGGGUUCAAGUCCCUUCUCUCGCA